AACUCUUGCAGGUUCUUCUUUGUUUGCGCAGGUUCUUUUGGUCCAAGGGUGAGAAGAAAGGAUUCAGACAAAGAGCAGCCAUGAGGACUCACCGGCAUCCUGUCGCUGUAUAUGAUGGUGUUGAGACGAUGAGCUACAGUGAGCGCGGUGCAUUCUCUGAACUUGUCCCGGAUGGUUCUCUGGAUCGGCUCUUCUGUCCUGUAGAGACGCGUCGUAGAUGUUAAAUAAAUCCACAAGUAAAAUGAAUAAAGACUUUGAUAAGAACAUUACACUUUUGAUGGUGAAAAAAAUAAAAGGUCACAUUGUGUGCAGUUCUGGUGCAGUAUGCAUCAUUUUUCCCCUGCCGGUGAGGCGAGUUGUGUCAGCGGUACCUGGGGUCCGCGUUGGCCGUGGCCUCGUCGAUGACCGGGAUGCGGUUCUUCUUGAGGACGGCUGUGGACAGACGCGCCGGCUGCUGGAGCUCUUCCUCGUGGAGUCUGUAAAGAACACUGGGUCCUGGAAAACAGGGGAGAGGGAGGACUUUAAUGUAGUUGAGUCUCCAGCUAUUUUAACCUUUGGAAUUGGUCAAUUGUUUUGGGCUCAGGUUAAUAGCCCUUAUUCUGAAAUAGGCCACAGCAAAGCAGUGUAGCAGAGAGGAGAAACAGACGUGCCGUGAGAGCCAAAUCCCAUCUGAUCUUUACUGAACGCUACUUAAUUACUAAAAUGUAUUUCCUAUUUAUUUCGGCCACAUUAACGUUAUCUUGCGCCUUUGAACUCGCAAACUCUGUUUGUAAUUUGUUAUAAAAUUAAAACAAUCGUCAAUGAUGCAUUUUCCAAUCCAGAGGAGAGAUCUCUCUUUUGGCCUGUCGUCAAAGAGACCCGGCUCUUAGCGACAGUGGCGUAGAGAACAAACCGGUCCAAAAUGUGGUUCUGCUUCAGUUUAGUCGAUGCAGACAAUGAUUGUUGCCAAAACAGCGACAAGUUUUUUGCUUGUAAGGGCGGAAAAACAAGAUAUCUGUCAAAAACAUCGAGCCAAAGCGUAUCAGAUACAGGUGGAGAAAUGUACCGUUUUCAACAGACUUUAUAAUAGUGAUUUGUUCAAAACAUGACCGCUUCUUAUACUAGAAAUAUUUUUUACUAUUUUACAUUUUAAUUAUCACAUUAUCAGUGAUUUGUUCUAAACAAUACUGUUGCAGUUGCUACUCGAAUGUUAAUGUAUAUACAUUAUUUAUGACAAAAUAAAGCAAUGUUAAUCCUGUUAUUAAUUUCUUUCAUUUUUUCUCUAAAAACAAGAAAAACAACUGUUCAGAGUACCGUUAAAGUACCAGAUCAAUAAGCAGUAUUGGCAAGAGUAGUAAAUAUAAGAAUCGGAACCAAAACAACUUGAUCGGGACGUCCCCAGAUUGUUUCCUCUGCGUGUGUGCGUUUUAACAGCCAAUAAGAGGAGGUGAGUUGAUGUCUACCUGAGGAAUGAUGGACAUCUUCUGGCGCGGGUCGUGGAGGCCGAUCUCAGAGGUCAGAACCCCGUCGAUGUAGAUCUUCCCCUGAGGUUCUGCCAAGCGGAACAGAGCUGAGACCAGAGAGCUUUUCCCAGCACCG